UACGGGGGGGGCAAGCGUUGUUCGGAAUUACUGGGCGUAAAGGGCUCGUAGGCGGCCAAUUAAGUCCGACGUGAAAUCCCUGGGCUCAACCCAGGAACUGCGUCCAAGACUGGGAGGCUUGAAUCCGGGAGAGGGAUGCGGAAUUCCAGGUGUAGCGGUGAAAUGCGUAGAUAUCUGGAGGAACACCGGUGGCGAAGGCGGCAUCCUGGACCGGUAUUGACACUGAGGCGCGAAAGCCAGGGGAGCAAACGGG
rnacentral:rRNA from 1 species